GAUGAACGCUGGCGGCGUGCCUAAUACAUGCAAGUCGAGCGAACAGACGAGGAGCUUGCUCCUCUGACGUUAGCGGCGGACGGGUGAGUAACACGUGGAUAACCUACCUAUAAGACUGGGAUAACUUCGGGAAACCGGAGCUAAUACCGGAUAAUAUAUUGAACCGCAUGGUUCAAUAGUGAAAGACGGUUUUGCUGUCACUUAUAGAUGGAUCCGCGCCGCAUUAGCUAGUUGGUAAGGUAACGGCUUACCAAGGCAACGAUGCGUAGCCGACCUGAGAGGGGAUUCGGCCACACUGAACUUGAGACACGUUCCAGCUCCCUAGGGGAGGCAGCAGUGGGAAAUCUUCCGCAAUGGGCGAAGGCCGAACGAGGCAACGCGGCGGAAGGAAUGAGGUCCUUCGGAUCGUAAAACUCUGUUAUUGGGAAGAAACAAAGGUGUAGGAAACUAUGCACGUCUUGACGGUACCUAAUCAGAAAGCCACGGCUAACUACGU
rnacentral:rRNA from 1 species